rnacentral:rRNA from 1 species
AUUGAACGCUGGCGGCAGGCUUAACACAUGCAAGUCGAGCGGGGAAGGGUAGCUUGCUACCUGACCUAACGGCGGACGGGUGAGUAAUGCUUAGGAAUCUGCCUAUUAGUGGGGGACAACAUUCCGAAAGGAAUGCUAAUACCGCAUACGCCCUACGGGGGAAAGCAGGGGAUCUUCGGACCUUGCGCUAAUAGAUGAGCCUAAGUCAGAUUAGCUAGUUGGGGGGGUAAAGGCCUACCAAGGCGACGAUCUGUAGCGGGUCUGAGAGGAUUGUCCGCCAAACUGGGACUGAGACACGGCCCAGACUCCUACGGGAGGCAGCAGUGGGGAAUAUUGGACAAUGGGCGAAAGCCUGAUCCAGCCAUGCCGCGUGUGUGAAGAAGGCCUUUUGGUUGUAAAGCACUUUAAGCGAGGAGGAGGCUACUUAGAUUAAUACUCUAGGAUAGUGGACGUUACUCGCAGAAUAAGCACCGGCUAACUCUGCGCCAGCCGCCGCGGUAACAC